ensembl:lncRNA
CUUGUUGCUGCGCCGGACAGGGCCGGGGGGUUGACAGUGUGACAGUGGAGAGACAGGGUGACACUGGAGUGACAGGGUGAGAGUGGGGUGACAGGGCCGGGGGGUUGACAGUGUGACAGUGGGGUGACAGGGUGACACUGGAGUGACAGGCUCCUCCAUUAGGACGUCCAGUCACAUCGCUCUGCCGGGCUGGCACCCUCUGGACCGCGACCGACCCCCACCCGCAUCCUCCAAACCCAAAGGACAAAUGAAGUCCACAUUACCCGCCGCCACCGACCGGAGCAACCCACCACCACUAGACGGGAGACCACGGAUAACAAGACAGGCCAGCAGCACAUGCUAGGUACCGGCUGCAACACCUCUCCGACGGCCAGGGCCGGAGAGCACCACGCGCGGGGCCCCUGAGAGCUCUGAGAGGCCCCUCCGCUUGGCACCACCGUAGCACAACAUCAUGGUUCAUACGCAGGGCG